ACCUGGCUGGCUCAAUCAGUAGAGCAUGUGACUCUUGAUCUCUGGGUUAUGGAUUCAAGCCCCAUGUUGGGCA
rfam:Felis catus isolate Cinnamon breed Abyssinian chromosome A3, whole genome shotgun sequence.